CAACUAAAUCGCGGGUUUGGCCUUGUAAUGAGGUAAAAAGUAAAGGAGAUGAUAUAGUCAAGAUUGUUUACACCCCUUUUAAAAGAGGGGUGUGCUAAAACCACAAAAUUAUCUAGAUUUUUAUAUUCAUUCAUUAUAUUUAUUCAGUCAUUAAAAAUAAACAAUACUUAAUUAGCAAGCUUAAUUUCGCGAUAAAUUAUUACCUACGUAUUGUAUUGUUUUAGCAUCGUCUAGUUCGAUAGAAAAUAUACUUGAAUUGGCAGUGAAUAAAAGAAAGAGCAAAGAAGAAUCUAAAGAUGUAACAAAUACUAAAAAGCCAAAACAGUUAAUUACCGUUUUUCCGGAAGCUGAACAAAGUAAAGACAUUUUAAUUGAGGAGCCUGAAAAUGAAAACAUUGAAAGCUACACAUUUCAGGAAUCAGAACAUGAAACAGGAGAUGAUCACGAACAUUUUUCAGACCGCAUAAGCUCUAACUCUAAGA